rnacentral:rRNA from 1 species
GAUGAACGCUGGCGGCGUGCCUAAUACAUGCAAGUCGAGCGAACGGACGAGAAGCUUGCUUUUCUGAUGUUAGCGGCGGACGGGUGAGUAACACGUGGAUAACCUGCCUAUAAGACUGGGAUAACUUCGGGAAACCGGAGCUAAUACCGGAUAAUAUUUUGAACCGCAUGGUUCAAAAGUGAAAGACGGUCUUGCUGUCACUUAUAGAUGGAUCCGCGCUGCAUUAGCUAGUUGGUAAGGUAACGGCUUACCAAGGCAACGAUGCAUAGCCGACCUGAGAGGGUGAUCGGCCACACUGGAACUGAGACACGGUCCAGACUCCUACGGGAGGCAGCAGUAGGGAAUCUUCCGCAAUGGGCGAAAGCCUGACGGAGCAACGCCGCGUGAGUGAUGAAGGUCUUCGGAUCGUAAAACUCUGUUAUUAGUGAAGAACAUAUGUGUAAGUAGCUGUGCACAUCUUGACGGUACCUAAUCAGAAAGCCACGGCUAACUACGUG